rnacentral:rRNA from 1 species
AGCGUACACGGUGGAUGCCCUGGCAGUCAGAGGCGAUGAAGGACGUGCUAAUCUGCGAUAAGCGUCGGUAAGGUGAUAUGAACCGUUAUAACCGGCGAUUUCCGAAUGGGGAAACCCAGUGUGAUUCGUCACACUAUCAUUAACUGAAUCCAUAGGUUAAUGAGGCGAACCGGGGGAACUGAAACAUCUAAGUACCCCGAGGAAAAGAAAUCAACCGAGAUUCCCCCAGUAGCGGCGAGCGAACGGGGAGGAGCCCAGAGCCUGAAUCAGUGUGUGUGUUAGUGGAAGCGUCUGGAAAGGCGCGCGAUACAGGGUGACAGCCCCGUACACAAAAAUGCACAUGCUGUGAGCUCGAUGAGUAGGGCGGGACACGUGGUAUCCUGUCUGAAUAUGGGGGGACCAUCCUCCAAGGCUAAAUACUCCUGACUGACCGAUAGUGAACCAGUACCGUGAGGGAAAGGCGAAAAGAACCCCGGCGAGGGGAGUGAAAAAGAACCUGAAACCGUGUACGUACAAGCAGUGGGAGCCUCUUUAUGGGGUGACUGCGUACCUUUUGUAUAAUGGGUCAGCGACUUAUAUUCUGUAGCAAGGUUAACCGAAUAGGGGAGCCGAAGGGAAACCGAGUCUUAACUGGGCGUUAAGUUGCAGGGUAUAGACCCGAAACCCGGUGAUCUAGCCAUGGGCAGGUUGAAGGUUGGGUAACACUAACUGGAGGACCGAACCGACUAAUGUUGAAAAAUUAGCGGAUGACUUGUGGCUGGGGGUGAAAGGCCAAUCAAACCGGGAGAUAGCUGGUUCUCCCCGAAAGCUAUUUAGGUAGCGCCUCGUGAAUUCAUCUCCGGGGGUAGAGCACUGUUUCGGCAAGGGGGUCAUCCCGACUUACCAACCCGAUGCAAACUGCGAAUACCGGAGAAUGUUAUCACGGGAGACACACGGCGGGUGCUAACGUCCGUCGUGAAGAGGGAAACAACCCAGACCGCCAGCUAAGGUCCCAAAGUCAUGGUUAAGUGGGAAACGAUGUGGGAAGGCCCAGACAGCCAGGAUGUUGGCUUAGAAGCAGCCAUCAUUUAAAGAAAGCGUAAUAGCUCACUGGUCGAGUCGGCCUGCGCGGAAGAUGUAACGGGGCUAAACCAUGCACCGAAGCUGCGGCAGCGACGCUUAUGCGUUGUUGGGUAGGGGAGCGUUCUGUAAGCCUGCGAAGGUGUACUGUGAGGUAUGCUGGAGGUAUCAGAAGUGCGAAUGCUGACAUAAGUAACGAUAAAGCGGGUGAAAAGCCCGCUCGCCGGAAGACCAAGGGUUCCUGUCCAACGUUAAUCGGGGCAGGGUGAGUCGACCCCUAAGGCGAGGCCGAAAGGCGUAGUCGAUGGGAAACAGGUUAAUAUUCCUGUACUUGGUGUUACUGCGAAGGGGGGACGGAGAAGGCUAUGUUGGCCGGGCGACGGUUGUCCCGGUUUAAGCGUGUAGGCUGGUUUUCCAGGCAAAUCCGGAAAAUCAAGGCUGAGGCGUGAUGACGAGGCACUACGGUGCUGAAGCAACAAAUGCCCUGCUUCCAGGAAAAGCCUCUAAGCAUCAGGUAACAUCAAAUCGUACCCCAAACCGACACAGGUGGUCAGGUAGAGAAUACCAAGGCGCUUGAGAGAACUCGGGUGAAGGAACUAGGCAAAAUGGUGCCGUAACUUCGGGAGAAGGCACGCUGAUACGUAGGUGAAGUCCCUUGCGGAUGGAGCUGAAAUCAGUCGAAGAUACCAGCUGGCUGCAACUGUUUAUUAAAAACACAGCACUGUGCAAACACGAAAGUGGACGUAUACGGUGUGACGCCUGCCCGGUGCCGGAAGGUUAAUUGAUGGGGUUAGCGGUAACGCGAAGCUCUUGAUCGAAGCCCCGGUAAACGGCGGCCGUAACUAUAACGGUCCUAAGGUAGCGAAAUUCCUUGUCGGGUAAGUUCCGACCUGCACGAAUGGCGUAAUGAUGGCCAGGCUGUCUCCACCCGAGACUCAGUGAAAUUGAACUCGCUGUGAAGAUGCAGUGUACCCGCGGCAAGACGGAAAGACCCCGUGAACCUUUACUAUAGCUUGACACUGAACAUUGAGCCUUGAUGUGUAGGAUAGGUGGGAGGCUUUGAAGUGUGGACGCCAGUCUGCAUGGAGCCGACCUUGAAAUACCACCCUUUAAUGUUUGAUGUUCUAACGUUGGCCCCUAAUCGGGGUUGCGGACAGUGUCUGGUGGGUAGUUUGACUGGGGCGGUCUCCUCCUAAAGAGUAACGGAGGAGCACGAAGGUUGGCUAAUCCUGGUCGGACAUCAGGAGGUUAGUGCAAUGGCAUAAGCCAGCUUGACUGCGAGCGUGACGGCGCGAGCAGGUGCGAAAGCAGGUCAUAGUGAUCCGGUGGUUCUGAAUGGAAGGGCCAUCGCUCAACGGAUAAAAGGUACUCCGGGGAUAACAGGCUGAUACCGCCCAAGAGUUCAUAUCGACGGCGGUGUUUGGCACCUCGAUGUCGGCUCAUCACAUCCUGGGGCUGAAGUAGGUCCCAAGGGUAUGGCUGUUCGCCAUUUAAAGUGGUACGCGAGCUGGGUUUAGAACGUCGUGAGACAGUUCGGUCCCUAUCUGCCGUGGGCGCUGGAGAACUGAGGGGGGCUGCUCCUAGUACGAGAGGACCGGAGUGGACGCAUCACUGGUGUUCGGGUUGUCAUGCCAAUGGCACUGCCCGGUAGCUAAAUGCGGAAGAGAUAAGUGCUGAAAGCAUCUAAGCACGAAACUUGCCCCGAGAUGAGUUCUCCCUGACUCCUUGA